UACAGAGGUCUCAAGCGUUGUUCGGAUUCAUUGGGCGUAAAGAGCGUGUAGGCGGCUAGAUAGGUCCGUUGUGAAAACUCGAGGCUCAACCUCGAGACGUCGAUGGAAACCAUCUGGCUAGAGUCCGGAAGAGGAGAGUGGAAUUCCUGGUGUAGCGGUGAAAUGCGCAGAUAUCAGGAAGAACACCCGUGGCGAAGGCGGCUCUCUGGUACGUGACUGACGCUGAGACGCGAAAGCGUGGGGAGCGAACAGG
rnacentral:rRNA from 1 species